GGCAACCUUGACACAUUAGACAUCAUCUAUGUCCCUUUUUCACCUUAAGAAAAAAAUAGAAAGAAAGAAAAGGGAAAAAAGAAGAAAAUAUAGAAAGAGCAGAAGCUUUAAAAAGGUCAGGUCAAAGUUGGACUUUGUCUUUCCAGUGCAGUAAAACAUACUAUUUUCAGACAGCUCAUACUGUCAAGGUCCUUGCUAAUAACAGUUAUUCAAAACAGACCAAUAUACCCCUAACAACAAGUCCAUAAACAGAGAGCUAACUACAAGCAUCUGGACUCAGACUUUUGUAAUUCAUGCUGUUAUUAAUGUCCACUCAAAGAUCCCCACUGAGAUUUCUGGCAGAGUUAAGAAAAUCCCUGAAUCUCAUAAGCGAAUUGCAAAAUGGCAGCUGGUCUGGAGAUGAAAGGUAUGACUGCAAAAGAGAAUGCACUAAAAGGUAUGAUGCAAAAUUUUCAACUCAUGGUGGUACUCUAUGCAAAAGUGAUUAUUAAUAAGAAGAUUUGGAAGAAAUAUAAAAGACUGAAGAAAAUGUGAGGAUAUUGAAUCACUGAAAUUAGAAGAUUUUUUGCACUAAACUGGUGUACAGUUGAACUCAGAAGAGGAAACUGCAUGGAGCAGAAGAAAAAAAUGUGUAAUUAGUGCAUACUUACCGAACAAGCAGAAAUCCCAAAACAUGGAAAUGACCAAACAGAAGAUCAAGAAAUAGCACAAAUACAAAAUAUUUCAUAACAGGAAUUAUGUAACAAGAAACUCCCAUAGGAGUUUCUGUAUCCUAAUGAUACAUCAUAAUUUCUUGCCCAUAGCAAAAAACUUCAGUUUGCUAUAACCUCUCUCUACUAGUUAUCUGUUCUGUCAAACAAGACAUCUUCUUUGCCUUGACCGCUUCAUUGAGGCACUGGAAAAGCCUGUCCAAAAUUUACC
rnacentral:lncRNA from 1 species